rnacentral:rRNA from 1 species
AGCGAACGCUGGCGGCAGGCUUAACACAUGCAAGUCGAACGGUCCUUCGGGAUAGUGGCGGACGGGUGAGUAACACGUGGGAACGUACCCUUAGGUUCGGAACAACACAGGGAAACUUGUGCUAAUACCGGAUCAGCCCUUCGGGGGAAAGAUUUAUCGCCGUUGAAGCGGCCCGCGUCUGAUUAGCUUGUUGGUGAGGUAAUGGCUCACCAAGGCUACGAUAAGUAGCUGGUCUGAGAGGAUGGCUAGCCACACUGGGACUGAAACACGGCCCAGACUCCUACGGGAGGCAGCAGUGGGUAAUCUUGCGCAAUGGGCGAAAGCCUGACGCAGCCAUGCCGCGUGGAUGAUGAAGGUCUUAGGAUUGUAAAAUCCUUUCACCGGGGACGAUAAUGACGGUACCCGGAGAAGAAGCCCCGGCUAACUUCGUGCCAGCAGCCGCAGUAA